CAGAGAAAAAGAAAAGCCAAUUGUUCAAAAGUGCCUAAUAUGCCCACGGAAAAUUUUCGUCACGACCCACAGUUACUCGAAUAGGUAAUAAGACAGGAAUGCCUUUGUUUGUUCGAAUAUAGAAGCACAAUGGCUCAGAAAGGAUCCCUCCAAUCUCCUUGGCACUGUCAGCUGGGUGCGGAGUAGCUUGGUGGCAGCAACCAUGUUUGAGAGGGCUGGCUUCACCUCAGUGUACUUGCGAGUCUUGAGACCACAGUCAGGGUUAACCCACAAAAUGUUGGUUUCUAGCACAGUACGCAUCUCGUAGAUUCUGUCAACAAUUUCUUCGGUUGAUGGUAUUCUUGGAGAGUGGAUGUCAUAGACGCCAGGGCCAAUUGCAGCAUCAUACUGGACUCCCUCACGGAAGACUGACAGGAGAUUCUCAUUAGAACGAGAGUUCUCAAUGGUGAUCACAUCAGCAUCCAUGUCGAUAAUUGAGUGGAUAAUGUCGUUGAAGUUGGAGUAGCACAUGUGGGUGUGGAUCUGUCAAUCAAUAAACAAUAGAAUGAGAUACAAAAUCAACAGCUAAAUUAAAGAGAUGAGAUUGGAGAUUAAAAGGGUAACUGACCUGGGUAGUGUCCUGGAUGCCACAGUUGGUGAUUCUGAAGGAGUGGACUGCCCAGUCCAAGUAGAAAGCAUGCUCAGAUUUCCUGAGAGGCAAUCCUUCCCUCAAGGCAGCCUCAUCAAUUUGAAUAACGUUAAUGCCUGCCUUCUCAAGAUCCUCGACUUCGUCCUUGAUGGCCAAAGCAAUCUGGUAGCAGGUUUCAUGUCUGCAAAAUUGGCAGCGAUUGAUGUUAAACAAUGUUUCCAUUCCAAAAGGUUAACCAAUAGUGAACCAGUUCUCAUUUAUAUACCUGGGCUGGUCAUUUCUGACAAAGGACCAGUUGAGAAUGGUGACAGGGCCAGUAAGCAUUCCCUUCAUUGGGCGAGCAGUCAUGCUCUGAGCCCAGGAGGACCAGAAGACGGUCAUAGCCUUGGGACGGCUCACAUCACCAUAGAUGAUGGGUGGCUUCACACAGCGAGAUCCAUAGGAUUGCACCCACCCAUUGGCAGUGAAGGCGAAACCUGAUAACUGCUCUCCAAAGUACUCAACCAUGUCGUUUCUCUACAAAAACAAAUGUCCGAAUUCAAUUUGAGAUCCAGCAUACUUCGUAUGCAAUUAGAAAUGCAGAAACAAAAAUGUAUAAAAUUUUAUGUAAUUCAAAACCAGGAGACAUUGCUUUGCUUCCAUUGGGCAUUGCGAGACUCACCUCAGGCUCUCCAUGGACAAGGACAUCAAUAUCAAGCUCUUCUUGGAGUUUGACAACCUUGUUGAUUUCCUCCUUGAUGGAAGCAACAUAUUCUUCCUCAGAAAUCCUAAAAAGGACAAAUAGUCACGGCACAGUUAAUACAGUAGUUGCAGUAAUUUCACACAUGGCAUUGAAUGAAGAAACACCUCAGAUUGACUCACUUCUUAGCCUUGUAUUCACGGCGGACUCUCCUAAGUUCAAUGGUUUGUGGGAAGGAUCCAAUUGUGGUGGUUGGGAGGAUUGGAAGAUUGAGCUUCUUCUGUUGAGCAUCUAAUCUAGCACUAACGUUUGUAGCACGUCUGUGGUCUGAUCCCCUCAAAGCAGCAGCCUAAUAGACCAAGAGGAAGGAAUCACUGUUAGCAAAAAAGGAAAUUCUAAGGGACAGCCACAUCAUAAAAAUGGAAAACAAAUCAAUCAUGCCACUUACAGCCUUUUGAACUGCCUCAUUGGUCACUCUCGGGGAGGACUUUCUUGAAGCCUGAGCUGCAGCAUUGGCAGAGAAGAAUCCCUGGAAACAAAUGAUAAGGAGAACCAAAGUUAGUCUCAUUCAUAUCAUUUUAAAAAGAAGAUACAUAUGCAAUUAGUGGGCUGAUUGUGAGAGAAAAAGUCCCCAAAACUUUAAUCAAACACCAAAUGCCCAAGUUGCCAAAUGAUGUUUAAUUCGGAAAAAUAUAUUUAAAAACAUUCAAAUAUAAUUUCCCCUUCUAAAUUUUCAUUUUCAACAACAUAUUUUACAAGCCAAGCUCAACGUCAGGCCAAGAUUUUGUGCUCCUAUAAUUAUAUUUUACCAUAAAACUAGGUCCUUGAAAGGCUAAGAUUUUCUGACUCUUGUGACUAGUCAAAGCCUAAGAUUCUUUCAAUUCAUCCGUAGUAAAAGUAUACCUCAUCCUUUUGGCCAGCCAAAGCCUUGGCCAAUGCAUUGACUUCAACAACUUUCUGGGCAGCAAAUGCCAGCCAUGACUUGAUUUCGUCGUCGAGUUUGUUCUCAUUAACAAGAUCAACAGCAGUGUGAAGAAGUGAGCAGGAGGUGGAGACCACAAGCUUGUCUGCAAAGAAAAGUAAUAAAUUAUACAACAAAUCCCAUAAUAGAAUAAGAAAUAUUUAUCACAAAGAAAAAUGCAAGCAAAGGAUGUAUACCUUUGCCAACAACACCCUCAAGCCCCCGGAGAACACUAAGAGAAGCAGCAAGAUCAUUGGCCCAAAUGUUCCUUCCAUCAACCACUCCAGCAAAGAGGUACUUGCCAGCAGGGAAUCCACUCUUGAUCAAUUCAAGGGUCUUGGUUCCACGAACCAAAUCAAAUCCAUAAGCGGUGACACCCUUCAAAGAAGUGAGGGUCUGGAAUGCCUCAGCUGGAACAUCAGCAAAGUAGGUCUCAACAAGAACAUUCAAGCCAGACAGAGUUGACUCUAGUUCCGCGUAAGCCUCACUGAAUGCUUGCAAUUUGUGUGAGUCAAGAUCCGUAACAAGCAAUGGCUCAUCAAACUGAAUCCAGGAAGCACCAGCAGCCUUAAGCUCAGAAACAACUUCCCUGCAGAAGUGUUAAUUGGUACGACACGGAUUAAUGAUGCCACACGAUACACACACACACACACACACACACACACACACACACACACACACACACACACACACACACACACACACACACACACACACACACACACACACACACACACACACACACACACACACACAGACAGAGUUAUUUAGCACAUACACGUUUAUAAAUCUGUAAAUAGGUGAUAAUUCUUACUUGUAGAUCGGAAGGAUUUUGGGAAGAAGAGAGAGAACAGAAAAGGUCUUCUCAACCCCCCAGGCAGGCUUAGACAGCAACAAGUAUGACACAGGGCCAAUAAGCACUGGGACAGUUUCAACUCCAUGCUGCAGCAUUAGACAAGUGGUAGAUAUUAGCAUCUCACAAACUUGAUCUGACUGAUAGAAAGUUACAAGCAAGUUAAGAAUAUGUUUGAUGAAAUUUCAAUGAAAAAUCUUCAGGGUCCACAACAUGUUGACUAUACCCUUUUUAAGUAAUUUAUCUUAAGACUAUUUUGCAAACAGUAUUGCUUCCCUUUACAGAUCAAAUAAAUCAUACAACAUCUGAACGCAUUUCCUGAGCCAAAUAUAAGUUCAAAGCUCUAUAAUAAAUGUCAAUGACUCUAUAGUAAAUUCCAUCACAUUCUGAGCUAUGGAUGAGCAUAUCAUAUGCCAAUUUCAAGUUGAACGUAACCCAAUUUCAACAUAUUGUAGAUUCAAGUAUCAAACGAAAAAAAAAAUAUUGUAAAUAUAGACAGAACUGAGAACAAACACUCACCCCCUUAGCCUCCUUGUACUCAGUCACAGCCUUGUGGGAAGCGUAGGAGAACUUAACAUCGGGUCCCAAUUCAGGAACAAUGAAAUGACUGCAUCAACACGAAGCCAAACACACGUCAGCAUUCAGUACAAAACCAUUACACCAUAACUAACUUGAAAUGCCGCUCUUCCAAGUAGUGAAUACUUACUAGUUGGUGUCGAACCACUUGGUCAUUUCCAUUGCGAGAACAGAGGCGUUUCCUCUGGCCAUGGAGAAGUAAACAUCGAAUCCAAUCUCGCCGCCGUUCCAGUUAAACCUCGGGGGCACGGCACCGAGCAUUGCGGUGGUGUCGAGCACUUGGUCGUAGUAGGAGAAAGUGUUGCUGGGAAUGUAUUUGAUCCCGGCCUCGGACAUCUGUUUCCAGAUGGAGGAUCUGAGAUCAGCGGACACCUUUUGCAAAUCCUCGGCGCUGCUCUUGCCAUCCCAGAAGGAUUCCAACGCGAACUUGAGCUCCCUCUUGGGGCCCAUGCGUGGGUAACCAACGAUGUGAGAUGCCAUUUUACUGUCAUAAUCACGUCAUCAAUGAAUCGAAAAUCAGUCCCUUCCAUUAAAUCAAGAAAUUAUUAAUUCAAAUGAAUGGAUCACAUUGUAUAUAUAUGGGAUAAAUAUAAUUAUGAACAAAAGCGUCUAAUCAAUCACAAAAAGCAAGCGACUGCAUCAAAUUUAGGGAUCCGACCCGACCCGACCCGAUCUGUAAAUUCCGGUUUCAAUCGGAUUAAGAUGAAACCUCUAACCCGAUAUAGUUGGAUUUUGGCCAACUCGAUCGGAUCAGAUCGGAUCGGAUUAAACUUAGUCCAAUCCGAAAAAUUCAAAAAAUCAAAACUACAAUAAGUAUAAAUCUAAAUUUUCAAUUCAAUUUGAUCUAAUCUGAAUAUAUUCGAAUCGGAUCAAAUACUAUGCUCUGCUUAAACUUGGAUUAUAUUUUUUUCAAUUUGAUUAACCUAAAAUUCGAUUGGAUAGAUCCAAAACUGAAUUUAUCUACCCCUCAGUCAUCAAUCAAUUACAAAACCUAAAAUCCGAUUGGAUAGAUCCGAAACUGAAUUUAUCCACCCUUAAGUCAUCAAUCAAUUACAAAGGCGACUGAUGUUUAUACAAUGGACAAUUAUUAAGUUACAGCUCUUGUAAUUUACAACUUAUACAAAAAUAUGUGAAAAAUUGUGAUAGGCAGUACAGUGUCAUGAUUUUAUACAAAAAUAUGUAAACAAUUGUGAUAGACGGUAGAACCUCAUGAUUUUAUAAAAAAUACGUAAAAAGUUGGGAUAAGUAAUGGAGCCCGCAUAAUUUUUUAUCAGCUGCAAGUUGCAAGUUACAGCAACUGUAACUUAGCGACCCCGACUUCAAUGUAAAAUGAGAAAGUACUCCUCCGCAUAGUACCUGAUGCUCAAAAGUCAAAUCACACGAAAUGCAAAUAGACUUAUCAGAGCAUAAAACCUUAUAUUACUUUUUGAAAAACGAUUUGAAACAAGGGCAAAAUUACAGUGUAACCGUACUUAGUCAUUGAAUUCAGCUCACAAUUAUCAUUAUAGUUAGAUCUAAUAACUAGAUCCAACUGUAUCCACAGUUAUAUUGUAGUUAGAUCUGAUAACUAAAUCCAGAUCCAGCUGUCCCCACAAUUGUCAUUAUAGUUAGAUCUAAUAAUUAGAUUCGGCUGAUUCAGCUGUGAUGUAGUACCCUGUAGUGCCAUAACUGGACAAAGAAACAAACUGAUAUAUUUUCUUUUUUGAAACAAACUGAUACUAAUCCAAGAGUUUCAGAUGAUCGGUUUUUUUUUUUUUUUCUAUAGUCACAUCAAUAAUUAAGUACUUUCAGUCAUUUUCGAAGGAUUAAAACGAAAACUCUAAAAAAAUUCUGAGAAUGAAGAAUCCGAAAAUAGAUUCAGAAAUAGUAACACAAGUAGAGGUCAGAUUGUUUUUUGGAAAAGAUUAAUUGCAGAUCUGAUGAACUCAAGUCUAGAUCUAGCAAAAUCACGGCAGCCAAACACUAGAUCUAAGACUAACAGUCACUCACCAGUCGAUCAGAAAGUGAAAUCAAGUUCAAAAUUCUUUUUUUUUAAUAGAUCCAAAAGCUAAUAUACAUAUAUAUAUGGCAAAAUAUAUAUACCGUACCCGAGAAGGACGAGCAGAGAAAUUAAGCUUUUUUCGAGAGAACGAGAAAGAAGAGAGACGAGACUGUUAGAAAUUGCUGUCAGUUUAAUUUUUAUUUAUAGCCAAAAACCUAACCUUGUUUAGUGGUUACUGGUUACCGUCUUCGGCGGUGUUGAUCUGAGAUUUAUCAUUUUAAUUUCUUUCUCUUACUUAUUUAUUUAAUUUGGGUCCAACUACGGUGAAACUGUAGUACCGUGCUACAGUUAUUUUCAACCGUUUGAUUCACUUGGAUGGUGGGAUCCAAUAAAAUCCAAUAACUGGGUGCAACCGUAGCACGGUGCCGCAGUUGCACCACAGUUUUUCCCAUUUAUUUAUUAUGCUUUCAGUGCAGUUGGCAAAAACAUGGAGCUUACGCGCGCUUUUCUGAUGUGGCGCGUGAAUUGGAAAUGUGGUAGAUCUUUGUGGAUCCGCCGGUGCAGUGAAGAGUGAAGGAAAAAAGAGAAAAGUUAUCAUGCCAGAUCAUUUGAAGAGAGCCGCAAUUAGUAAUUACACCACAAUAUAUUUCUGAUUAUUUGCUUACUUUGAUGAUGUUUUUACUGAUUAGUAAUUGGAAUAUGUUAGAAUCUAAAUAUAGUAGAAUCAUAAUAGAGUUGAAUCAAAAUAGACUAUAAUUAGAAUGGAUAAUGGGAAUUAGAAGAAUUAUUUGCUUUAGUUGUGAGAAUCCAAAUUGGAAUGAACUAUAUUGUCGUUGAUAUGUUUACUUUAUCAUAGAAUAUGAAUGAAUUAUUACAAGUUACUAAACAGACCUUAAGUUGAUUAUUGUCAUUAUUUAUUUAUUUAUUAUUAUUAUUAUUAUUAUCAUCAUCAUCAUCAUCAAAAUUAUUAAUCUUAUUAUUAAUGUUAAUUAUAAUAAUUAAUAAUUAUAAUAGUAUUAUAAUAAUAAUAAUAAUAAAAGCAAUCAUAAAAUGAGAAUUUCAAGAUUUAAGUAGAGAUAAUAUAAUUAUUUUAGAAAAUGAGAAUUUCCAUGAGAAUGUGAACUCUAUUAAUCAUUCCCAAUUUGAAGUGGGGCCUGCCAUUUUGAUUCAAUCUCUCAUUUAAGCAAGUAAAUACGACAUUUAUUCUCAUUCCCUCAUUCCCACUCUCAGGUAGCGUUUGUUUUUUAACUUAAUGACUUAAAGUGACUUAACUUAAUUAAUUAAGUUAAUUAGAGGUGUUUAUUUUUAUAACUUAAUGAGACUUUUUAGAUAAUUUUGACUUAAUAAAAUGAGCCAAUUUUUUUUGGCUUUUUACUUAAUGGAGAAAUUUGAAUUUAGUCAAUUACUUACUAAUGUCAAAAAUAUCUAUGUUUUAUAAUUUAUUUUUCAUGUCUAUCCCAAAACUCACCCAUAGACAUUUACCCCACAUAAAAAUAUCCCUAUUUUUUCUUUCUUAUAUUAUAUACGAUAAAAUUUGAAAUUUAUGGUAUUUUAUAUAUUAAAAUUCUAAAAUAAUUAUGUAUUCACUUGAAUAUAGUUUUACUUAUAACUGUUAAAAUAUUGUGGUAUUUAAUAUAUUAUUUAUUUGACAUUAAAAUUUAAUAAGGAUACAAAUGUAAAAGUACAUAUUUUCAGUUUUUUCAGUUAAAAAAAAAGCAACUUAAUACUUAUUUUUCGAGAUUCAGACGAAAAAAUAAACAUAUUAUUCAUAUUCAGACAUUUAGAUAUAUUCAGAAUUCAAACUAAUUCAGGUCUAUUCAGAUUUUAGACAAAAAAAACAAACGCCACCUCAAUCAAUAAACACACCAUAAAUGUAGAGUUGUUACUAUUAGAAUACAUUAUAAUUCAUCACAAUUAUGAUAGGUAUAUACGUGUGUAAUAAUUUAUAUAAGAUGCUAAAUUUUGAAAAUAAUAAAAAAUCAUUUAUACAUAUUUAAAAAAAUCAUUAAUACAUUAAAAUGUGCAUCACAUAUACAUUUACAUAAUAGCAAUGACCAUAGUAUAAAAAAAACUCCUAAAAGAGAACGACUUCGUUAUUUAUGUUAUUUUAUAUAUUUUUAAUUGAUUAUUAAAAGGAUCAAUUGUUAAUUAUUAUUCUCCAAACAUAAUCACCGUUAAACAUUUAUUCAAUUUAACAAUAGGUAGAUGUUAAAUAAUAUUGGAAUAUUUAAUGAACAAUAUAAUCACUAUUGCAGUUGUUUUUUUUUUUUAGUAAUGGAUUAUUCGAAACUCAAAUUCAUUUUUUAGCCCCCUUACCUCUCUUAAAAUUCAAAUUUAAGUGACUAAACAAAUAAAACUGCUUAAAAUCUAUACGACUACAUCUUUGGGGACCAAUUAAUAUGGAUGUUUAAAUCUUGAUUUAUUAUUAAAUCUUUGAGUUUCAACCACUAAUAACAUCAUCAUCGAUUAAUGACAAAUAAAAUAAUACAUCAUCAAAACCAUUAAACACGUCCAUCAAUAUCAAAAACAAGUAAAAAGUUUAGCAUGUAUUUCAAAUAUACUUUUCAUCCCAAAAGUUGUAGAGAAAGUCUCGAUAUCAAUGUCACUAUGAGACGUAAUUUUAUAUUUAAAGUCAGCGCAACUUAAAAAUUACUAUGAAUGAAUAAUACACCAUAAAAAAAUUAUUUAUAAGUAUUUUCAUCAUGUAUUUUUAUUUAACAAUGGUGACAUUUAUUUUUUAACUUAAUGACUUAAAGUGGCUUAACUUAAUUAAUUAAGUUAAUUUUAGGUGUUUGUUUUUAUAACUUAAUAGGACAUUUUAGAUAAUUUUGACUUAAUAAAAUAGGCCAAUUUUUUUUAACUUUUUACUUAAUAGAGAAAUUUGAAUUAAGUCAGUUACUUUCUAAUGUAAAAAAAUAUUCCUACUUUAUAAUUUAUUUUUCAUGCAUAUUCAAAAACUCACCCAUAGAUAUUUACCCCACAUAAUCUCAUCUUUAUUUUCUUCCAGCCGUCAUGGAAUCCCUCCUCACUUUGCUUCUCUCCUCUAGUUCUUGAAUCUCCCUUUAAUUUCUCGCUAGGCAAAGCACUUGAAUUGGGCUUUUUUUUUUUCCUUUUCAAUUACGUUUUCCAACAUUCACUUAUAUAAUAAUCAACUAGUUGCUACUCUUUUUAGUGAUAAAAUUUGAAAUAUGGUAUUUUAUAUAUUAAAUUUUCAAAAUUAUGUAUUCACUUAAAUGUAGUUUUACUUAUAAAUAUUAAAAUAUUAUGUUAUUUAAUAUAUUAUUUAUUUGACAUUCAAAUUUAAUAAGGAUAUAAAUGUAAAAGUACAUAUUUUUAAUUUUUUAAGUUGAAAAAAUAACUUAAUAUUUAUUUUCAGAUAUUCAAAUAAAAAAUAUAUUAUUUAAAUUCAAAAAUUUAAAUCUAUUCAAAAUUUAAAGUAAUUCAGGUCUAUGCAUAUUUCAAUCAUAAAAACAAAUGCCACAUGAGUCAUUCAAUUUCUAAUUAAGAGGAUAAAAAAUAGAUUUGGACUAUCCUAAGACAAAAACAAAAAAAAAAACAAAAAUAAGAUUUCCUAAUAAGUGUACUAACGUGGUCACGCGCCUUGAGAAACGCUUGGACCUAACACACUAUUUUAAUCCGAUAUGCAAAAAAAGAAAAAAAAAAAAAAGGAAAAAUUAUGAGAUGUAUAAGUUUCUAGAGACGUGUUAAAUUUUGAUGAAACAAUGAAGAAAGUCGGUGGCCGAAGUUGGUAUGGGGCAAUGCGAAUGGUGGUUGGCCCACGUUGCCCUGUAAUUGGAGUUGUUAUAAUUUUUCUUAUAAUUAAUAGGACUUGACACAGACUGCAGCAUCAGCCGUUGGAUGUGGAGGGAGAAACUAAACAAUAGAAAACCGUAUGGUGGGAUGACGGUAGAUGUUUGUUACAGAAACUGUACCAUAGACAGGUCCUAAUUAAUAAGCUCUACGUUUUGAAACAAUAAAUAAACUCCAGAUGACCAAAAUAUCAUUUCAUACUGCUACCUAGACAUCUUGGCGAGGGUGGGUAAUGUGGGGCCCGGAGCUUGUUUGAUCGUCAAUUAUUCUCUGGUUUGGUGAAACGAAUGGACGGACGAUGGUGAUGGCUUUUAGGAGAUUAGUAUUAUUAUUAUUAUUAUUAUUAUUACAUUGAGAUCGUAAAACAAAAAAUUCAAUUAAUAAUAUAAAAUAUUUAUUUAAUUUAUUAAUUAUUAUAUAUACACAAUAAAAAAAUUUAUAUACAUAUUUAUAAAUGUGUAAAUAAAUUUCAUUCAAUAUUAUAUCCAAUUAAUCAUUUAUAUUUUUCUGCUGUACCGUACAUCCGCCUUGGCCGUACAGCAGUAAAGCUGCUGAUGCUUUAUCGCGAAUUCAUGAGGAAAAUGUGAUUGAAGAACCCAAACCAACAACUCUUUGUUUGUCGUUAGACAUUUACCCCACAUAAAAAUAUCCCUAUUUUUUCUUUCUUAUAUUAUAUACGAUAAAAUUUGAAAUUUAUGGUAUUUUAUAUAUUAAAAUUCUAAAAUAAUUAUGUAUUCACUUGAAUAUAGUUUUACUUAUAACUGUUAAAAUAUUGUGGUAUUUAAUAUAUUAUUUAUUUGACAUUAAAAUUUAAUAAGGAUACAAAUGUAAAAGUACAUAUUUUCAGUUUUUUCAGUUAAAAAAAAAGCAACUUAAUACUUAUUUUUCGAGAUUCAGACGAAAAAAUAAACAUAUUAUUCAUAUUCAGACAUUUAGAUAUAUUCAGAAUUCAAACUAAUUCAGGUCUAUUCAGAUUUUAGACAAAAAAAACAAACGCCACCUCAAUCAAUAAACACACCAUAAAUGUAGAGUUGUUACUAUUAGAAUACAUUAUAAUUCAUCACAAUUAUGAUAGGUAUAUACGUGUGUAAUAAUUUAUAUAAGAUGCUAAAUUUUGAAAAUAAUAAAAAAUCAUUUAUACAUAUUUAAAAAAAUCAUUAAUACAUUAAAAUGUGCAUCACAUAUACAUUUACAUAAUAGCAAUGACCAUAGUAUAAAAAAAACUCCUAAAAGAGAACGACUUCGUUAUUUAUGUUAUUUUAUAUAUUUUUAAUUGAUUAUUAAAAGGAUCAAUUGUUAAUUAUUAUUCUCCAAACAUAAUCACCGUUAAACAUUUAUUCAAUUUAACAAUAGGUAGAUGUUAAAUAAUAUUGGAAUAUUUAAUGAACAAUAUAAUCACUAUUGCAGUUGUUUUUUUUUUUUAGUAAUGGAUUAUUCGAAACUCAAAUUCAUUUUUUAGCCCCCUUACCUCUCUUAAAAUUCAAAUUUAAGUGACUAAACAAAUAAAACUGCUUAAAAUCUAUACGACUACAUCUUUGGGGACCAAUUAAUAUGGAUGUUUAAAUCUUGAUUUAUUAUUAAAUCUUUGAGUUUCAACCACUAAUAACAUCAUCAUCGAUUAAUGACAAAUAAAAUAAUACAUCAUCAAAACCAUUAAACACGUCCAUCAAUAUCAAAAACAAGUAAAAAGUUUAGCAUGUAUUUCAAAUAUACUUUUCAUCCCAAAAGUUGUAGAGAAAGUCUCGAUAUCAAUGUCACUAUGAGACGUAAUUUUAUAUUUAAAGUCAGCGCAACUUAAAAAUUACUAUGAAUGAAUAAUACACCAUAAAAAAAUUAUUUAUAAGUAUUUUCAUCAUGUAUUUUUAUUUAACAAUGGUGACAUUUAUUUUUUAACUUAAUGACUUAAAGUGGCUUAACUUAAUUAAUUAAGUUAAUUUUAGGUGUUUGUUUUUAUAACUUAAUAGGACAUUUUAGAUAAUUUUGACUUAAUAAAAUAGGCCAAUUUUUUUUAACUUUUUACUUAAUAGAGAAAUUUGAAUUAAGUCAGUUACUUUCUAAUGUAAAAAAAUAUUCCUACUUUAUAAUUUAUUUUUCAUGCAUAUUCAAAAACUCACCCAUAGAUAUUUACCCCACAUAAUCUCAUCUUUAUUUUCUUCCAGCCGUCAUGGAAUCCCUCCUCACUUUGCUUCUCUCCUCUAGUUCUUGAAUCUCCCUUUAAUUUCUCGCUAGGCAAAGCACUUGAAUUGGGCUUUUUUUUUUUUCCUUUUCAAUUACGUUUUCCAACAUUCACUUAUAUAAUAAUCAACUAGUUGCUACUCUUUUUAGUGAUAAAAUUUGAAAUAUGGUAUUUUAUAUAUUAAAUUUUCAAAAUUAUGUAUUCACUUAAAUGUAGUUUUACUUAUAAAUAUUAAAAUAUUAUGUUAUUUAAUAUAUUAUUUAUUUGACAUUCAAAUUUAAUAAGGAUAUAAAUGUAAAAGUACAUAUUUUUAAUUUUUUAAGUUGAAAAAAUAACUUAAUAUUUAUUUUCAGAUAUUCAAAUAAAAAAUAUAUUAUUUAAAUUCAAAAAUUUAAAUCUAUUCAAAAUUUAAAGUAAUUCAGGUCUAUGCAUAUUUCAAUCAUAAAAACAAAUGCCACAUGAGUCAUUCAAUUUCUAAUUAAGAGGAUAAAAAAUAGAUUUGGACUAUCCUAAGACAAAAACAAAAAAAAAAACAAAAAUAAGAUUUCCUAAUAAGUGUACUAACGUGGUCACGCGCCUUGAGAAACGCUUGGACCUAACACACUAUUUUAAUCCGAUAUGCAAAAAAAGAAAAAAAAAAAAAAGGAAAAAUUAUGAGAUGUAUAAGUUUCUAGAGACGUGUUAAAUUUUGAUGAAACAAUGAAGAAAGUCGGUGGCCGAAGUUGGUAUGGGGCAAUGCGAAUGGUGGUUGGCCCACGUUGCCCUGUAAUUGGAGUUGUUAUAAUUUUUCUUAUAAUUAAUAGGACUUGACACAGACUGCAGCAUCAGCCGUUGGAUGUGGAGGGAGAAACUAAACAAUAGAAAACCGUAUGGUGGGAUGACGGUAGAUGUUUGUUACAGAAACUGUACCAUAGACAGGUCCUAAUUAAUAAGCUCUACGUUUUGAAACAAUAAAUAAACUCCAGAUGACCAAAAUAUCAUUUCAUACUGCUACCUAGACAUCUUGGCGAGGGUGGGUAAUGUGGGGCCCGGAGCUUGUUUGAUCGUCAAUUAUUCUCUGGUUUGGUGAAACGAAUGGACGGACGAUGGUGAUGGCUUUUAGGAGAUUAGUAUUAUUAUUAUUAUUAUUAUUAUUACAUUGAGAUCGUAAAACAAAAAAUUCAAUUAAUAAUAUAAAAUAUUUAUUUAAUUUAUUAAUUAUUAUAUAUACACAAUAAAAAAAUUUAUAUACAUAUUUAUAAAUGUGUAAAUAAAUUUCAUUCAAUAUUAUAUCCAAUUAAUCAUUUAUAUUUUUACAGCGGUUUAAUAAUAAUAUUUACUAAAUACAUAUGAUUAUUUUUAAAAUUCACAGUAUUUUUAAAAAUAAAUUUUAUAAAAUUUUUAACUAAUUUUCUUUACAACUAACUAUUGAACGGUUUAACUAAUAGUAAUUAUUUUUAAAAUUAUAGUAUUAUCAAAUUAGUCCUAUGUCAAAUUUGUUAUUGCUGUUUUUUUUUUAAUUAAAAAAUUACAUAGUGCAUACGUGCAUAAUAUGCCCAACUCAAAAAUUCACACAAAAUAUACUAUUUAACUUUAAGGCUUUAAUUGAAAAAAAAAAUUAAGAUUAAGAUGAAUAAAUACUAGAACAUAACAAAUAGAUAAACUCUCCCAUUCUUUAAAAAGAUUAAUUUUAUUUUAAACUUACACUUCGAAUUCAAAGUAGACAUUGAUUGAUAAAAUUAUACAAACGGAUCAAUAUUCCUACAUUUUCUUUUUAAUUUCAAAACCAACAGAUAUUGUUUGUUCAUUAUAUGACCUCCAAACAAAUAAUUUCAUUAAUAAAAUAAUAAUGAAAAGUGUCGUGAUGGGUAUAGAGUAAUUAGGUGGCUAAGUUUCUACUUUUCAUUCUAACUCUUGAGGUUGGUAGGCGCGUGGGUGGUCCACAAAACCCGUGGACGGUAGCAUUCAAACAAAGACUGGAGGCACCAGAAAAAUGUCCAAAAAGUGUGAAACCGUGACGUGUUCAACAUGUUAAUAAAUUUAGGCAAAUGUUAAAGUUACGGAGCUGGCUACGUUACAGAAACUGUACGUAACAGCCAUGCAUUUUUUAUUCGUUGGAUCUAGAGACUGAAAUUGGAUGGUUGGGAUUAAAGGCCAGAAUAGAAAUUAAUCACGGGCAACCGUUUUUAACAUUUAGAAGGGUUUAUUUUCAUGCACACCCAAAUAUUUUGACAAAUAUCAAUAUGCACCCAGUAACUUUUUAUGUAAAACCACAUAACCGACCCGUUAACUUUUCUACUAUUGAAUUAAAAAACUAUCAUGCCUCAAUUGAAUUAAAUUGAUCAGGUAAAAUAUCUUUUAUAACUUGUCAAUUUUUACAGUGAAAUAUACGAGUAUUUAGUAAAAUCAAAUUUAUUUUUUAUUCAGUAAUCAAAUUUUUUUAUUUAGUGAAAUCAAAAUUAUUUUUCUUUAGUUGUAAGAUUUUUUUAACAAAAAAAUUCUAAAAUCAGAUUUAACUCAUUUACUAUUUUAAAAAAUGAACUUUUUACUAACCAAACUAGAGUUUAUCUUUAGUCAACAUAUUUUUUUCUCUAAAAUAACCUUUGAUAGAAUUACUUAUAUAAACAUGUCAGUAUCAAAAUUACUUCAUAUUUUACCAUCCAUCAAUUUAAACUAGUGUGAAAUUUUUUUAGUUUGAUAUUGAAAAUAUGAUAGUUGAUGAGAGAAAUCUAAUUCAAAUUUACAGAUAGAAUAGUUUCUUAUAAUUGCGUACAUGGUAUAUCAAAAAUAUUUUUUUGUGAGUUUUUAAAAAAAUUGUGUCACAAGAUGAAAUUAUCUCUUGAUUUUUCAAUUCCUGGAAUUUAUGUAAAACAAUAAACACAAGUAAAUCUUUUGGUUUGUGACUUCUUGAAGGAAUGUUUGGGAACGCACAAGUUCCUCUCUCCUUCAAAAAGAAUGAUAAGUGCAAAUACCAACCUAGAAAAUUGAUUUAUAAUUCAAAGAAGAUUUGAUUGAAGAUGAUUAAUUGAAAUUUAUCUUUGCAUGAUGUCAAACAUUUUUCAAAAUGACUAAGUCAAGUCUCUUUGUUAAUUCAAAUCAAGAAAAAUUAGAAAAAUAUUAAUGCAUAGAAAUUCUACUAAGAGUUAUUUAUGAAAUUCUCAAACGAAUAGAAAUUAAAUUAACAUUUUUAAAUUUUAGUUAUGGGUUUAUUUUAAAAAUGGGUUUAGAAAGAAAUUUGAGGGGUUUAAAGAACCCCGCCCUUUCUUUAAUUAUUCGGUGAAUUUGAAAUAUAUUAAUAAGGUAUAAGAAUAUGUUAUUCUAAUCUUCUUAUGCAAAAUCUAUGCAAUUAAAAAAAAAUUCACCAAACGGUAUUUGUCUUUUUAUUGACAUUUAAUAAUAUUGAUGGCAAAUAUAUACAAUUAUCAAUCAAUUGUUAUCAACUAUUCAAGAUAACUGAAAAACUAAUUGCGUGAAGUUGGAGUAAUGAUUGUUUGAAUUGCCAAGAGUUUUUUUUUAAUAGAAACUAUUGCAAUUCAUAUCAUUAAAAAACUUAAAGACUACAAGUCGAAUAAAAAAUCUUUCCUUAUAAAAGAAUUUGACCAACUCAAAGUACAGUGUUAAAUCCUUGAGAUACAAUGAACCUAAAAAUCCUACUUUGACACACCACAAAUAAUGAAUCUAACUUAACAAUCAAUGGAGAUAAAUCAAUUUUACUAGCAAAAUAUAAGCCAAAACACAAGGCAACGUCUUCACCAAAAUCAAUAUCAUUCAAAUAAUUCCCCUUGUGAACGCCUGAAGCUAUCAUAAAAACAACAAAAAAUAAAAAAAUAAAAACAAGUAGACAAGCAAAAAAAUUCCCCAAUAACAAGUUACCCUACAAAACUUUUCCUUGUAGAACAUACACAGAAACCGCAGCUAUAGGGCUAUCGAAAGUAGGGAUGGCAAUGGGGAGGGGAGGGGAGGGGACCAAUCUCCCCAUACCCAUCCCCGAUAUUUUGCGUAUGUCCCCGUCCCCGUCAGAAUUGCUUGAGAGAAUCUCCAUCCCCUCCCCGAAUAAUAACAGGGGAUCCCCGAGGGUCCCCGGUCUUUGGAAAAGCUAGGAAAGAAAAGGGACGUGAAAAACAAAGGGGGUAGAUUUUUUGAAGGGGAAAGAAAAAGAAACCCUAGAUCUAAAUUUUUCUCUUCUCUCUAUGAAGAACUAAACCUAUUAUUCUGGUUGAAGAUUAAUAAAGCUUUGGUUCAUCAUUACUGUGAGAUCUUUCUUAUGCUUUAAUUGUUUUAUUGCUUUUUGGGUAUUUGUUUAUUCUCUAAAUUAUUGUCAUGAUUAUAUUUGUUAAUUAGAUAAUUGGCCACUAUUUAAUUAUCAACUUAAUCUAUUGUCAAUUAAAAGAUUCAUCGUAUGAAGAUUUUAAUAUUUGUGACAAAUAGCAUAGCAGUGCGUUGUGUUAUGAGAAUAAACAAUCUAAUUUAAAUGAACCAUCGUAUGCGUUUGUUGAUUAGGAUUUGGGUCUCUCUGAUUUUUCAGGUUGUCAAUUAAUUAAAUCCUAUGAUUGUAUCUAGGGUUAUCUAUUAAUUAGGGAAAUAACCAAUGGUCGUACCUUAGUUAUCGACUAGUUAAAGAGAGAUUGGCUAUUAAAGGGUCUCAGUAGCUAGGGAUGGCAAAAAUCCCCACGGGGACGGGCACCCUCGGGGAUUUUCCCCAUUCGGGGAGGGUACGGGGAUAAUUUUAUACCCAAUUUUUUUUUCGGGGAGGGGACGGGGAAAAUUUUUUACCCAAUUUUUUAUUCGGGGAGGGGACGGGGAUGAGGUGGAAUCCCCAUCCCCUACCCAUUUCCCCAUUUUAAUUUUUAUUUUUUAUUUUUAAAAUUACUAAUAAAUAUAUAACAAAAUUAUAAAUAUUGGCAAGAUAUGAGUGGAAUUUUGGGUGUGACAUGUAUAUUUGAUCCAAGGUAUAAAAAGAAGUUCAUUGAAUAAUACUUUUCUUUUUAUUUUUAAAAUUACUAAUAAAUAAAUAACAAAAUUAUAAAUAUUGUUAAAAAUAAUAAAUAUCAAAAUAGUUGUAUGUUGGGAAAGUGGUCACCCCUUACCAGGAAUUAGUGGAAGAGUAUCAAUUGAAGUUUUCACCAAUUGUUUAUUGCUUUGAUUAUACUGGUUGUAGUUCUUCUAUUAGAUCUACAGGGGAUUCUUAUAAGAAAGCAACCAAAUGGAUGACAUGUUUUGAUGAUUAUGUAAACAAUGGAGAUUGUGCAGUUGUUGCAGAUGAAUUAGAUUCAUAUUUGGAUGAAAAAGUUAUACCCCGGAUGGAAGAUUUUAAUAUUUUGAGUUGGUGGAAGACAAAUGCUAAUAGGUAUCCUACAUUAGCUCGAAUUGCUACAGGACGAGCAGGAGGUAAAUAGUUUUAUUAAAAAUAUUAAUUAAGUAUCUACAUUUAUUUCAUUUAUUUUAUUGCCGAUGUAAAAAAUAUUUUUUUUUUCUUUUUAUUGUAGGAUUAUGAAGAUUGAGACAUUGAUAAAGAUAAUUAUUUUAAUAAUUUAUAUUUUGAAUGUGACUUUGUAAUGGAUCAAUAUUAAUGUAAGAUAUAUUUUAAACUUUAUUUUUAUCUGAAUUUUUUAUUUUAAUAUGAUUAAUUUAAAAUCAAAAAUAAAAAAAUGUAUUAGACUAUUAAUUAUUCGGAGACCGGGGACCCUCGGGGAUCCCCUGUUAUUAUUCGGGGAGGGGAUGGGGAUUCUCUCAAGCAAUUCUAACGGGGACGGGGAGGGGACGGGGACAUACGCAAAAUAUCGGGGAUGGGUAUGGGGAGAUUAGUCCCCUCCCCUCUCCUCCCCAUUGCCAUCCCUAGAUUUUUGCCAUCCCUAUCGAAACCUCUACCCACCACUAUUAGAGUUAAAAAAAUCUCUGAUAUGAGUGUAUUCUUCUAAUUUGAACUCUAACGUGAUUUUUUGAGAGAUUCAUUGGAAAAAAACCUUAAGGAGUUAAAGAAGAAAUUUAAAAAAAAAAUCAUAAAAAGAGGAAUGAAAAGAAAAAGAUGCUUUACCAAGAGUUGAUUGACAGUAAUUGGUAAAUUUGAGCAUGCAAUAAAAUUUACCCAUAUAUUCAUAUGACAUAAAAUAUAAUUUUAUUCAUUAAUUACACUACUAAUUUGUCUAAAUUUUAGUUUUUAAAAAAAUAAAUUUCUAUAUAUUUACAUAAAUCUUAGUUUUUAUAAAAAUAAAUUGAAAAAUAAAUUUAUGUUUUUAUAAAAAUAAAUUUAUGUUUAUUUUUUUACAUUGACCUGAAGAAAAGACUAGUACUACUAAGCUGCUGUACGGCCAAGGCGGAUGUACGGUACAGCAGCAAUUUGACUGUUUGGGGGUGGGGUUGAUGGCUUACAUCAAAGUUAGUGUGUGCUAAGGAUUAACAAUAAUAAUGGGGUAAAUAUGAAAUUAAUCCUUGCCCAAGCAUUAGAAGUUCGUCGGUUUUCUUUUAACCGGAUAAUUACCGGUGAAUAUGUCACGCGUUCCUACACGUGGCAGCAUCUAAUUUAUUCGCUUGUCAUUUCAGUUUCUGUUAGUUACAGUUUCUGUAACGUAGCUAGCUCCGUCAGGUACAGGCAUGUUGUAACUUACGUUUCUCGUAAAAAUCAUAUAAGUUCUAUUUCUACCGCUAGGGUGAGCAUGGGUUGAUUUGGAUUAAAUUUUAAGUUAAUUUAAAUUAAAUUAUAAAAAUUUGGGUGUAAUCUAAAUUAAUUUAAAUAUUUUUAACAUAACUCAUGGGUUGGUUAAAUCAAACUAUAAAAAUUUGGUCCAACUCAAAUUAACUCAAAUAUUUUCAACACAACCCAAAGCAACUCAGUUGGAUUUUAUUAAAAUUAUAAUAAUUAUUAAUUGUUUUUAAACCAACCAUUUUGAGUUUGGUUUGGAUUUUAUUAUCAAAAUAUAUUUUUUAUUUUGAGAAAUUUAAUUUUAUCAAAAUUAUAAUAAUUAUUAAUUGUUAUUACUUAUUAAAUUGAUAAUAACAUAUAAAAAUUAUAAUUCAUAAAAAUUAUAAAUAACAAAUUUUACAAUAACUUAAUCCUUAAAUUAAAGAAUACUAGAAAAUUAAAAUAAAGUUUAAUCACAAAAAUCAUUAUUUAUCAAUAAAUAAGAAAAUUCUAAUAAAAAACUUCUACAAGCACGAUAUCGACAAGUAAAUUCAAAGAAAGAAAGAAAGAAAGAAAAGACUAGUACUACUAAGUAUUAACCCUAUUACAACACAAACUCUAACAAUGUCCAUACAAAUAAAAAAAAAUAAGACAUUCUAACUCAAGUGUCAAAGCAAUCCAUCAUAAUCAUUUCCAUCCGUAGUACUUUAAUCGAGAGAUUCCACGAUUAACUGACAAAAUGUAUGACAAUGAUAAUUUACAUUGAUUAUGACAUAAUAGAGAUGGAUUUGUCAAAGCCAAAUCAUUUGCUGGAAAGGAAUUUAGUUGAAGUAGGAACCAAAAUUCAACUUAGAUGGAUCUAUAAAAUUGGUCAUUCAAUACAUAAGUACUUUAUCAACAGAUUCAACACAUUAUAAAUUUAUGGAUUCAACUAAGUUACAACCAGCUGCAACUUAUUCCUCUCACAUAAACAAUAAUACAGCGGUAGGCUAUAUUAUUUACAAAAAGUACUUAUGUAUUGAAUGACCAAUUUUAUUACCUGCAAAAUUAAUUAAUCUUUCACUCUAUCAUCUAACUAAUGGAAGGCAAUCUUAUUUUAGGUUGUAAUGAUUAGAAACUAGCAGGAAGUGGGGGCGAUGCUCCAUAUUAAUUUGGAUAAAUCCCUUUCUAGUGAAGAAGUUAAAAUUAUAAAAUAGAGAUCAAGAUAGAAAUUUAAAGGCCCCGAUUGUUUUUUACAGACUUAAAAAUGAUAUUGAAAAAUUAAAAGCUAAUUUUAGUAUUUAAAAAUUACUUUAAGAAAAAUCACCCUAUCUUCCUGUAAAUUUUGAAAAGCAUGAAAAGAGCAGUUUUUCAAAAAUUGAUUUCGAAAAUUAGUUUCAUACUUAAUACAAUUCCAUAUAUCCUAACAUUUAUUAUAAAAAUUCAAAUUAUCCUUAUUAAAUUAGGAAAUAAAGUCAGUACAUUUAAAUAAGAGUGAUGAUAUAGACACAAACUCUUGUACCAACUGACGUAGCAUUAAUUUAUUAGUUGAAUGAAAAUAUAAAAUAAUAUAAAUAAAUCAUGUGGGCCAAGAAAUAUUUAAUUUAACCAAUUUUAUCAUGUCACAUUAUAAGCAACUUAUAAACUCAUUGGAUUCGACUCUUUACUAAAAUAAAAAUAAAUUAAUAUAUAUAUAUAUAUAUAUAUAUAUUUACAUACAUAAAAUGUGAUUAUAUACACAUAUUUAUAAUUGAAUAUGUACAUAAAUUCUGUAGAUUUAUGUCUAUCUAUACAUUUGCAUUCUUACCACAUUUUAAAAGUGUGAUUUACCAAAUACAUGGGACUUAUUUGAAAUUUAUAGCACUUUUAUAAAUAAAAUUUAUCAAACGUUAAACAGAUUCUCUAUUUUCGCGUAUAUAUCCUCAUGUAAAUUAUAAAAAUUCAAAAUUAUCUUUAUUCAAUUAGGAAAUUAAAUCAUUAUUUUUAAAGAGAUUCUUAUUAUUACUAAUUAGAUUCAAAUAACCAAAAAAAUACAAUCAAUAAAAUAAAAAUAUUUAUUUUAGUUAUCAUUUAUUAUAUACACAUAUUUAUAAAUGCAUGUGUAAAUAAAAUUUUAUAGAUUUAUGUCUAUUUAAGUUAUUUGCAUUCUUACAACAUUUAAAAAAUGAGAUUUACUAAACACAUGUGAUUGUUUUUAAAAAAGUUACAACACUUUUAAAAAUAAAAUUUAACAAAUGUUUAAUUGACUCUCUCCAAAGGUAAUUGUUUUUACAGUAUAGCUAAAGUAAUUUAUAAAUUUAUGAUAAGUAUUUGUGAAUAUUGGUCUAUGUAAAGAAGUAAAAACAACAUAUAUAUUAAGCAGCAUGAUAUUAAAACUCUUAGUAAAAUACAUAUACUAAUAAAAGAAAGACAACAAUGCAAUAAAUAAGCUUAUAAUAUAAAUUAUUAAAAUUGUAUAUUAAAAAAUUAUGCAUGAAAUUCUUUUUCUAUUUUGGUGAUAGAGAAUGCGAUAUAAUUGAAUUAUUUGAUUUAAUAAAAAAAAAAUAUGACUGUGAAGGAAAUUAACAAUUGAAUUGUGGAAUGUUAUUAAUUGUUAUUGUAUCAUUUUGCAACGUUCUAAUAAUAUGGACAAUGUUACAGUAUAUUGAUGGGCGGUAAUAUUUUCACCUCUUAAAUUGUGUAAAGUCAGCUCCAUUUAAAAAAAUUAUAUAUAAAAAGCCCAUUAGUUUUAAUAGUUUCAAAUUAAGAUUAAAUGCAAAUAAUUAACCAAUUAAAUCCUUAUUAAUAAGAUCAUUGAGCUUUAAUUAAACUAAUAAAAUGCAUUUGAUAAAUGAAAUUUACGAUAUUUAAUUACAUGAAAUUUAUUGACUACAUGAAUAAUAUAAUUGUUCAGCUGUUUAAACUUUUUCCCUAUUUAAAUUUUAAAAAACAAUGUGAAAUUUUGUAAAUAGUUCUUUGAAAUGGGGUGGAUUUACACCAUUUGUGCAGUGCAAAUAUCCUAAUUCUAACAUUUUUUUUAAAAAAAAAGACCAAAUCAUAACAUUUUUUGUAUACUAAGUUAAAGUAGUACUAACAUUAUAGCCCCCUAAUGAUUUCAAUUCAUUCAAUGAAUAUAUAAUUUAAGCAUGUUAUAAACUAAGUCUCUAAAUCGAAUUAAAAAAAGAAAAAAGAGCUUAAUUGCUGACAUAGUUGAAAAUAAAAUAAAAAAUUUUAUUAUUAGAUGAAAAAUUAUGAAACUUAAGGGGUAUAAGCGAGUCGGCAGCUGCUCACCAGGGCAUAUGUAAUAUUUGUUAAUACAUUUCAAAAUUUUAGGUUUUUUAAUAAUAUUUUCAAUACAUUUUCUAGAAGGUUUAGAAAAAAAAAAUGACUCAAUACUUUAAUCGAGCUAUGAAUAAACUCAUGUGUUAAAAAAUUUCAUAUUUACACCCAAUAAGAUUAAUUAAUGGGUGAUACAAAUUUAAGAUAGUUAAUAAUAAUAUAUAUCAUCUUAAGUUAACUUCAACUCAUUAACCUUGUAUAAGGUUUGAUGGGUCGUGCCGCAAAUUAUCACCUCUAAUCCUUUUUGCAACAGGCAUGAUGAAUGCUAACAAAAUGAAACUUCUAUAUAUUUAGUUGUUAUUCUUUUUAAUGAAAUAAUAAGGAGCUUUGCUGCAAAUUUCCAUCCAGCAUGGCAUGGACGCACGUGAAAUUUGCUAGUAUGGUCCUGGACAUGCGUGGCUGAGAUGCUUCUAAAGGCAAAGAAUUCCAAGUUCAUACCAAAUAUAACUUUCUGAUAUUUUUGUGGUAUCAAGUUUGUUUUUCACAAACUAAGGUGUCGGCGUAAAGUUGUUGUCCAUGCAAUGAAGUUUUAUACAUAAAUAUAUUAACCUAAAUUGUUACUAAAGUUCCAUAAUUAGCAGUUCCUGAGAGUUUUUACUAUAUAUUUUUUUGUUUUAAUUCAACAUAUGUUUAUUUAAUACGAUUUUAUUAAAUAAAUGUGCAUAUUUACCAUAUUUGUCUACGAUCAAUUAGUUGGAAAAAAAAAAGAAAAUUAAUAAAUUUAUUUAUUUGAUUGUUAAUGGUUUAGGCAUUUGAAUUCCCACAAAGUCAGGGUGUCAGCUCUGGACUUCUGGUGAUGUAUUUUUCUAAUAAAGAAAUAAAAUAUUGUUGUCAUUUUUUUAAUAUUCUAAUUUACCAAGCCUACCAACCAAUUAAUUUUUCUAAUUAGAUCAUUAAUUCAUUACACGUGCAUUCGCUGGCCCAGUGCUCCAAUCCCAUGCAUGCUGCACAACUCAAUGUGUUUUAAUAAGAAAAGGUUUGGUUAGCCUGUGCUGAUGCCAGAAGCCCCUUAAGGAGUUCAGGUAAACGUAAAUAUGUCCAGAUUUAGAUUUGAAUAUGUAAACGUAAAUAGGUCCAGAUUCAGAUUCGUUGCGCUAGAGAGGGGCACGCACGAUCGGGCUGCUGUCAGGUGGUACGUUGGCGUGGCAAUUCUCAACACGCGCUUCUCCUGGUGCAUACUUACGGCAAGUUGACACGUGACCCGUGUGGAUUGAGUGGACAGAGUCACGGGCACUGAUUUUUGUCAUCCAUAACGACUAACGUCGGAGACUUCGAGAAGAAAGAAAUUGUUGUCGUUUCUAAGGGGAAAAAAAUAUUUAAUUUGUUGAAGACAAAUUAACGUCGGAGAUUUUUUUUAUUUUUUAUUUUUAAUUUUGCAAUCUAAACCAGUCUAAUCAAAAUGUCAAUUUGACAAAAGUUGGACUGAUUUAGAUUAGUUCUAUUAGUUUGAUUGGAUUAAAUUGAAUUAGAUCUUGAACAUCCUAACACUUUUCAUGAAUGUUUUCCUUUUUUUUUGAAAAAAAUUAAUAAGGAGAAUUCCCAUGAAUGUUAAUUUUAUUGAUAAACUUGGCAAUUUUAAGAAAUGUUUUGACGCACGAAUAAUGCAAUUCAUCAACCCACAUAGAUAUGGAUAUAGGAAGCAGAGACCAGAUCGAUCUUGACAUAACGAAAACUUGUAUGUGUAUAUGUAUGUUACAGACCAGAUCGAUCUGUAGCAUAGACUUCUCCUAUAUGUAGGUUAUAUUCAAAUUACAAAAUGAACACAUGUUAAGGAUCUACAACUUCUUCUUUAAUCUAAUAAGCUCCCUCAACUUUAUUCCAAAACAAAAAAGAAUCAAAUUUUUGUUGGAAAUAUUUAUGAAUGAAGAAGCAAAAAGCGCUUGUAUCAAGGAUCUAAUUAAAGAACUGCCAGAGGCAUAGAUCUAUCAAAGCUCCCUCGCAUGACUCUUGGUCUCGGUGGCUUCUUCUUCUUCAUUCCGAAUUUUCCCUCCAUCUGAUCUCUUCCAACCUUUCCAUUUCCAAAUUGAAUUGAAACUUGCCUCAUAUUCGUUUGUUGAAUCCCAUCUUUUGUUGCACCACCAUGCAUCAAAAUCCUUGAAAUCCCAGCAUAAUGCAAGGACUCAGCUAUUUGCAAUGGGGUCACGUUCUUACUUGUCCUUGCCUCAACAUCAGCUCCCUUCUUCACAAGCAAUUCAGUCACAUCUGUGUGGCCAGAUUCCACCGCACAAUGCAAAGCUGUGUACCCAUCUUCAUCUUUAGCAUCAACAUCAAUCCCUUUAUCAAUCAGAAUCCUCACAACCUCAAUCUUUCCCUUAAACGAAGCCCUAUGCAAAGCAGUCCAUCCAUGUAGGUCUUUCCCAUUGAUCGCGGCGCCUGCUUCGAUCAACCUCUGCAUUGUCCUCACUUCCCCUUUCCUAGCGGCAAUACACAGGCUGUCACCAAGCUUCAACGCGUCAAAGAGACGGGAGUGACCGCACUCAGCAGCAACAUCAUAAGCGGUCUUUCCGCUCUUGUUUCUAAUAUAUUUAUUAGCACCCUUCUGCAAUAACAGCUUCACCAUUUGCUCAUAUCCCAAGCUUGCGGCGAUAUGCAAAGGCGUGUCACCGUCUCUAGCGUUGCGUAUAUCAGGCCUUGCUCCGUUUGCUAACAGAAGUCUCGCGCAAUCUCUUCUUCUGUCUUCAACCGCGAGAUGCAGAGCUGUGUUACCAUCUUUUGUUAAAGCAUUGACAUUAGCACCUUUGAUUAAGAGAAGCUUUAGUACUUCCAAAUGGCCGCCUCGUAAGGCCAAGUGUAUGGGCCCCCAUGUUGAUGUUCCUGAUCUUUCUGUGCUGGCUUUCCUCGCCAACAAGAGCUCAACAAUAAGUGCUUCCCCUGCAGCCGCCGCGGCUUCAAGUGGAGUACUGCAGCCACACCUGCCUUGAGACUCAACAUCCGGCCCAAACUCAAGCAAAAGUUGAACAAUAUCAGGCCUCCUUUGAGCUAUAGCAAUAUGAAGCAACGUUUGUCCCUGCGCAUCGGCAGAAUCAGCCGGGUUCCAAGCCGGGUCACUCCGCUCAAGAACCUCUCUUAAAUCAUCCAUUUCACCAUCCUUAACAAGCAGAACCAAAACAGGAGACCCAACGAACAUGAUCUUGAUUCCGCUGUCGAUGAACACUUGCUUCUUCCUCGUUGUGAACCAGUCACUGGGGACGGAAUCAAGCGUCGACGUUGCAUCUUUAAUUCCAGCUCCAGGAACAACAACGCUGUGCAAGAGGAAGGAAUCAUCACAGUGAGGGAAAGAAUCAGGAAGAACCGAUCCUGGAGGGAGAUGAUACGCAAUCUCUACGCUUAGUGUUGCGAGUGGUGAUAUGAUUCCUGAUUGCGGCUUCACAGUAUAACGAGCCUUGUUUGUAGGCUGAAUCCUGAAAGCAACAGGCAUCGUGUGCAUGACAUUGCGGAGAGUCAGCUCCCCGGAACAUUUCUGCCCUGGUUCAAUUCUGAUAGCUACAAGGUUCGACGGCUCCAAGCUUACAAGCCUAUCCAUUGAUUAAUUUUCUCUCCGUUUCCCAAGGACUGCUGAAAGGGGUUCUUUGAACUUUUUGAUUCAGGCUUAUUUUCUUCACUUUUGGUGGCAUGGGGAGGAAUUAGAGGAGUAACUGUAAGAGCUGCAAGUGUUGGUGUAAUCAACUGUAAUAUAAGGAGAAGAGAGGGCCGGCUCUAAUGGGAGACUGCCACGUGGUGGUGUUAAAAACAAUGAGACUUGUUCUGUUCGGCGUCCGGAGUGUAUAUACAGUUGUGUUAGUGGUGAAAGUUAAAGAAAUCCUGAAGUUAUUUUCGGAGUGGCUUCUGCAAAGUCACUUUCAGGAUUGUAUUGUAUCAUUAAAAAACAAAGCCAGUUUUUGUUGUUCUAGUAAAAGGCGAAUCAUUGGACAAACUCGUAAGAAUAUGUUGCCAAAUGUAUAAAAUAUGAAAUUCAAACAAUGAUUACAAUGUGAAAUUGGACAAUGGACAUGGCCUGUGUGAAUUGUUUUGUGGGCUUACUAAUUAAAUUAAUUCACUAAAAAUAAUGUCACUUUUGUGUCUGUGAAGAAGCCGAAAUGGCACAGUCAUUUACGUGGCCAACUACGGUGACUACUUCGUCAGUAGCUGCUCGAGCACUUGGUCAGCACAAGUUGCUUUCUUUCUUGGCGGGAUUAGUUUUUCUUCAUUGCUUUAAGUGGUGCAUUUCUGCAGUUUCAUUUUGCUUUGCUUAUGCCAUUGGAUUUGUGCCCCAUAAAUAAAUAUAUAAUUAAGCGGAAAAGUAUCAAAUUUUGAAAAAGCUUAGGUUUUGUGUGUGUGUGUGUGUGUGUGUGUGUGUGUGUUUUAAGCCGAAUUACUCGGCUAAAAAUUAAUCCGAUUAUUAUUGUUUUGGUGCUUAAGAUGUGACUCUAACCUAAAGCUCAUUUGAACUCUCUUGAUGCUCAUAUGGUAUUUUUUGUGUUGUGUCGUGCUGGCCCUUACACAUCUCGGCUCAUAUUUUUCAUGUUACUAAGUUCUAAUAUGUACAAAAGAAAUAGAGCAAUGUCCGGUGGUAGAUCCAAACACUCAAUUUGGGGUGCUUAUUUUUCAGUCUCAAAUUCGAUUAUUUUCUUUUAAAAUAUUAAAAUAAUAGUAAUAAAAUACUUAUUUUAAAUACUGAGCUCAUUACAACCACAUAUGUAAAAGUAUCAUUUAUAUUUUUUUUCUAAAUAAUCUUCACAAAAUAUUUUAAAAAAUAAAAUUAUGUGACUAUGGGGAUUUGAACCAAGUCUCUCAAACUACUAAAUAACACUUUUACCACUAAAUUACAAAUCUUUUAACAUAUUAAAAGUGCAUCCAAAUUAUUAUUAUUAUUUAAUUAUUUCAUAAGAGAUUUGGGGCACAUUUAAAAGAAAAAAAAUUAAUGGUGCAUAAAGGACUAAAGCCUCUCUUGAGUCCUUGACCUUAACUAGGUCCACCCAUGGUAAUGUCAGUGAUACCCAACUUGAAAAAUAUACAAGAAACUUGGAAAUUUAAAUUAAUGAAUAAAUAAAUAAAUAAAAGGAAACUUAGUGAUUGUAGCUGUUGUAUUGUAUUGUGGAUCAAAGAAUUACAAGUUCUUGGUUUCUCGGUAUUGGCUAAUUUUGAAGUUAAAUGAAGUUCGAAAAUAUUUACAAGCAAUAAAAUUAUCAACUGAAUGAGACAAGGAAAGAGUAUAAAGACCUUAGCAAAUUAGCAAUCCUUCUUUAAUUUAGUAACAGUGACGCUUAUAAAGUUAGAAGACGUAUCAAAUCUAAUUUAGAUUUUGCCCCAUAAAACUAACUUAACUUAUAGUGCGUCUUUGUUUAAUUAGUAAAUAUUCCACAAAAACUGAUCAGCACUUUAUAGGAAAUUCCAAACACGUUUAUAUUCACAAGGAAUAUGUCAAGGAGAAAUGAGAAUAAAAAAAUGUAAAAACUAAUAAAGCUUCAUUAAUUAGAAUUUAUAACCAUAUGUGCUCCUAUACUACUUUUAUUAUUAAGAAUUUGAAGUAGAAGGUAGUUGAUUAUCAUGAAAUUACAAAAUUGUAAACGGAUUUGUUCUUUUGGAAAAAGAAAAAAAAAAAAAAAGGAAGGAUAGUUGAUUACUUGAUUAGUGAGAAAUCAUACGUAUAAAGGACAAAUUGAAAAAUGGGACCUGAAUUGCAACAAAGCUUCAUUGGAAUUAACUGCCGAUAAAAUUAAAUUAGUAUCACCCUACCCUUUCAUCUUAAUAUAUUCGAAAUUUCACCGAUCAAAGUUUCUAGCUUCGAUUUUUACGAUCUCUCAUCCUAAUAACACCAAAAGCAUAUUCAUUCGUUUGUAAGAUUAUGUAACAAAAUAUAGUAAAUAGCCUAUAAUUUUUUUGUUUUACUACUAACCUGUUAUCAUUCUUUUCUAAUAAUACAUGUUAAAAUAUUCACAGAAAAAAUUUAUCCCUAUUACACCCAACCACCUUUUUUUGUGUUUUUUUUGUUCAAAUUUUAGCAUUAAAGGGACAAUAAUGUCCUAUGAAAUAUGCAGAAAGACAGUUAAUAAUAUUCAAAAAUGUAAGUGGAGGUAUCUUACGCCACACACACAAAUUACACGACUCUCAUUAAUGUGUUGUUGUUGUUAUGUGUGGCGUAAGUUACAGUUGAAUGUCAUAUUCAAAAAAGUAAGUGGAGGUAUCAAUCUCCCUAAAUAAAUAAUUUAUGGAAGGUUGUUAGCUGUUGUACUUUUAGUUAAUUUUAAAAUCACAAUAAUAUGGUUAAUGUUAAGUUACAUGCAUGUAACUUAGGAGGAUCCCAAUAAUAUACCAUAUUUUAUUAAUAUGUACAGUAUUUAUAAUAUUUAAAAAUUAAGGAAUUAAUGUACGCAUGUAAAAGCUGCAUUGGAGCCAGUUGGAAAUCUUACUGUCUUGAUAUAUGCAACGAUUGUAGCAGCUAAAAAGGCAUGAUAUUUACUUAAUAUUAUUUCAAACAAUAAUUAUUUAUUUAAAGCAAAUAAUAAUAAUGAGGGCAGAAGGACUAUUCUAGGAUCAAUAUGGUGACAGUAUAAAUAAAUAAUAUUAAUUAUUAAUGCAUUGAUGAGUAUUGUUAAAAUGACAUAAUAGGUUUGUUUCAUUGAAUUGAACCUUUUCUCUUAAAAUAGCUAUAAUUUGUUCUCUCUCUCUCUGUGUUUUUGUUUUUGUUUUUCACUUUAGUUUUACUUCUCUUAAAAAACCAAAAAAAAAAAAACAAAAUUAAUGGAAACUGAUGAUGGGAAGACGGACAAUUUUCUAUAUUGUUAAAUAGAAAUGGGCACAAAUGUGAGUUUUUUGGGGCAAAAAAAUAUAGUCAAUGUACGUAGCGUUUGUCUAUUUGAAAACCCGUCAAUAUAAAAACAGGACGUAAAGCUUUCAGACAAAGUACUCUUAUGGCCGUACUUUCCAUAAACCAAAUCAAAAGAAGGAAAAUAUUUGUGUCUGGCUUCGAUGCGACUGUUAACAUUCACAAAUAAACACCUUUGCAUGGUCAGAAAAAUUAACAAGAAAUUAGAAGGCGAUGUUGCGUUCUACUUAGUUCUCUAGGAUUUGUGUCAUUUGUUUAUGCUACGGUUCGUUCCCAUUUGCAUUGCGUGGAAUAAUUGGCCGAAUAUUAUUAAUCUCAAUCUUAAUCUCUCAACUCUUGUCCCUUUAAUUUUUGUUUGUAUCUUUUUCUUUUUUUUUUUAAAUAUCACAUACAAUGCUUUUAAUAAAUAACUUCAUAGAAAUAUUUAAUAAAAUCCAACAUAUAUAAGUUCAAGAAACUCAAAAAAUAAAAGAAAAUAAACUCACGUUGUCACUGGAGAGACUCAAACAUGCUACCUUAAAAUUAAGUAGAGGGUGCAACUACUUGCACUUUAAAAAAAGAAAAGAAAAAAAAAGGGGCUUUGAACGCUCGUGAUAAUUUGCAAGUUAUGGAGGAUAAUCAUUGUACAAUGGGGAGAACUCUUAUGGAACAAUAUUCAAACUGAUAUUGAAAGCAUAUAAGAAUUUGGCUUGGGUGUUUUGGUGCCAUGAAUGAGUGCAGAAACAAAGAGGAAGCUUUGUCCCUUUAAUUUGAUCUGCUGUAUUAUAAUUAUUGAGAUUAAUCAAAUAAAUAACCGAAACAUGGUUACAGUUUUAUAGUGUAUUGCAAGUCUUUGGAGAUACUAUGUACCUCAAAAAAAAAUAUCGUAUAAAAGAGUGUUUUGUUUCACAGGGGUUCAAUGAGAUUUGAGAUGGCUGUAAUGAAAGUGAUGUAAAUUUUUUGGACUCUAAUGAGGUGUUUUUAGAUGGAGGGGGAUUUACAAGUAUUUUAUAGGGGUGAUAAAUGACUGUAUACCCACCAAAAAGGCCCAUUGUUCGAGUCCAUGAGCAUUACAGUUUUUUUUUUUUUUUUUUUUGAAAUUCAGAACAUGCAGUUUGUUUGAUUCAACUUCCGAAUUACAAAAUUAGAAUAAGAAAAAAAAAUGUGGAUGUUUUUUCUUUAAUUUACAUAAUAAUACAUGGUGUGGACGAUGUCUAUUGAGGGAUAAAAGAGGAAUGGGGGCACUGUGAAGUUUGUGUUUUUGUUUUUUUUAAAUUAUCAUAUUCAUACUGUCUAUAAAAAUAUGCAAGUUAAAAAAUUACUCAUGAUAUUGUUGUUUUUGUUUCAUAUAAUACUACUUAUGCACAUCGCCUCAUGCAAACAUUUCUUAGUUAUGCUUAAAAAAAUGAGAUUCUCACCAUGGGUCACUGUAAAAAUCCACAGAAGCCGUGGAUCACAGUAGGAAGCCCACUUGAACAGAAGAAGCUACCGAAAGCUUCGACAUUGUAUUUAUGAAAUGCUUAGUAAAUUUUGUUUUAUUUUGAAUUUAUAUUAUAAAUGGUGUGUUGCUAAAUUAAAAAAUAAAAAAGAAAUGCAAUGUGUCAAAAUACAAGAAUCUUACGGACAUUUUUGUCACAAUAUAUGUAAAUAAUUCAUAUCUUAUUCAUAUCCUAUGUAAGCUUCACUUGUUUAACACAAUGGUGGUUGAAUCUUCAAAAAUUCAUAAUCUUAAACAACCAAAUUUGGAAUUAAUUAAGCAAAUUGCCUCUAUAAAUUGAUUACAACAACCAACGACGUGUGAAGCCACAUGUCAAUUUCCCUAGACAGCCCAAAUAUUGAGGCGCUGUGAGGGAGCAAGGUGCAAUCGGAUGGGGGAAAGAGAGAGAGCCAAUGGUGAGAAUGGAUCGUGGUGAGGGAGAACCAACUGGUGGUGAGAUUUGUGGCUUCAAUGAGGUGAGUUUCGUGGCGCUGUGAGUGAAGUGAGAUUUGGCAUGAGUGUGAGGGAGAAUGCGUGUGUUGUGUGAGUGAGGUAAGCUGUGUCUGUUGUGUGCAUGGAGACUCUCACCACAAUUAGAAUUUAUAGUUAGCACAGAACGAAACACAAUAUUCUACGCUAACUGUGGAGUUAACCAUGGUGAGAAUAUCAUUAUUGUUUAUUAUAACACUUUUUUUUUUAAUUUGUUUUGACAAUAAAAUAAAGAACCUUGUAAGAAAACCUCAAUAACUCAAUUAAAAAACCAACUCAACCGAUGAUAGGUAAAUUGAGAAAUUUUCAACUAAAAAUUAUUAAGAUUGGUUUUAACUUCAAAUCAUAGUCACAUAGUUUUGUCCUUAUAAAGAUCAAAAUAAUGAAUUCUAACUCCGAAGUUUUUAGAUUUAUGUGACGAACUGACGAUAGUAUAUUGAAAUCGAUUGAAAUGAAAAAUUUAAUUAAAUGCAAUUCAAGAUGUAGUAUCAAAUUCAAACGAUUCGGAUUGUUUUAAAAAUUUCAAUGCUUUAAUCUAAAUCGAUUAAUCAAUUACACUCUUGCAAUUAUAUACCGUUAAAACUAAAAUAUGUAAAAUUUAGGGUGCAUUUAUUACCAUUUUCAAUUUGUUGUUUUUCGUUUUAUGAAAAGGAAAAUACAGAAAACUUGUUUGGUGAGCUCAUAUUGGUGGAAAACUGUACAGUGAUUAAAAACAAAAAAAAAUUCAUUUUUCAAUGUUUACAAAGGAAACAAGAAAACGCUAUUACACUGGGUUCUCUAUUUUAUUUCACUUUUACUCUCUGCCAAGGCCCUACCAUCUUAACUUUUAUAACAUGGUGUAAUAAAUUACGUGGGCCCAUUUAAUAAAGAAAUAAUCUAAUAAAUAAAUUAUUAUAACAAAUAUUUAAAAAUAAUAGCAUUCCAUACCUUACAGCUUAAUUACUUAAUAUAUUACCCAAAUUAUUUUAAAUAAAAAGUGAUAUCAUAUAAUUAUUAUACUAAAUUAUUACAUUGUUCGACCAAUAUGCAGUUAUUUAAAAAUUACUACAAACUUUCUUACAUAUAUUAAUGAAAAUAUAUCAAUAAUAAAGUUACAUCUUGACAGUUAAUAUAAAUAAAUAUAUGAUAAUUAUGAAAUAAUUAAAGAUUUUCUCAAUUAAUAUUAUCUUAUAACUACAAUUUAUUUACAUAAUUAAAAGUUUUUAAGAAAUUAUUAAAAUAUCUUCAAACCUAUAUGCAUUUAUAAUAAUAUAUAAUACAUCAUAAUAUAAUAACUAAAUAGAUAAAUUAUUUAUUAAUAUAAAAUAUAUGUUUAUAUUCAUUAUAUAAUAUUAUUCUUUCAUAGUAGUUUCAUUAAAUAAUUCUCUACUCUCUCUCUUUUUAUCUUUAUUUUUUCGGACAGACAAGUAACCAAACACCGCUUCACCUUUUUUUUAUUUUCAAAUACUAUUCUUAAAAUAAACUACCAAACAUAUUUUUAUUUUUAACAAAAACUAAUCAUUUUUAUUUUAUAAAACAAAUUGAAAAGUACUAUUUAAAAUAUAAUACCAAACUUACCCUUAAUAAUUUUAUAUUUGUCAAAAAGAUGAGAAGCUAAGUGGCACUAUCGUUUACCUAUUCAAACUAAACGUGGAGUCACAAUAUUGAAGACACUUUGGUGGCCACAACACUCUUUUCUUUAGUACGGAACAAUCUGGCUUACAUGACACUACAUAAAAAUAAAUAAUAAAAAAUCACCGAUUCCAACUGCCCCGGACAAAAAACAGGCCACACGUAAAAAGGCUUCUAUUUUUAUUUUUAUUUCUCCCCAUUUUAAAGAUGACGUCAUGGUGAUUAUGAAACCAGAAAAUAACAAAUUUUAGUUGUCUGAUUUUGUAGUUAUCCAGCGAAAACUAAAAAAACAGUGAACGCAGCAGCAGAUCUCCGUGUUUGUCGUCGUUCGAUGAGAGAUUCCGAUUCGUGAGCAUCGCAAGUGUUGAAAUGGAAUCAGACGAAAUGAGGAGUUAGCCUCUUAUUAUAUAAUAAUAAUAAUGAUAAUAAUAAUAAUAACUAAUCUCUUUUAUCAUAUAAUUGAUAAUGGAAAUUCACAUUGACAAAAGGCAAAUUACACACUGACUGGGCAGAAUAAAAAACAGUCUCUCUCAAAAGCAAUAAUUUAAACACUAACACCACCUUAAGGAGACACCCCAAAAAUAAAGCAGCAAGCUCUUACUGUGACCACACACACACACACACACCAAACUUUUAUUAUAGAAUAAAUCUAAGAUGAUGGAUGAUGGAUGCGUCACAUAAAAGUUAAUUAAUUUAAUCGCUGUCACUGCUGCUGCUGCUCUCGUGUCCGUCCUCGUGCUUCUUCUUCUUCUCCUUCUUUUUCUUCUUCUCUUCACCGUGGGCGGCGCCCUCGCCGCCGCCGACACCGGGGAUCUUCUGCUUGAUCUUGUCCACCAAGCCCUCCUUGUGUUCGCCCUCCUUGUGUUCCCCGCCGUGAUGCUGCUGCUGAUGGUGAACAUCAGUAGUGCCGACACCGGGGAUCUGCUGCUUGAUCUUGUCCACCAAGCCCUCCUUGUGUUCGCCGCCGUGAUACUGCUGCUGAUGGUGGACAUCAGUAGUGUGGUGGUCCCCACUAUGGUGCUCUCCCUUGUGCUUGUCCUCCUCCUUUUGCCCUCCUCCCAUGUGAAGGGCUUCUCCGAUCUUGUGAAUAACUCCUGACAUUUUCCCUUAAAAUGACUCUGUUCCUCUUCUUUUCUUUUCAAUGAAAAAUAGUUGUUUGCGAUCUUCUUCUGGUUGUUGUUGUUCUUGUUGGGUGAUCUUGGCUUGGUAUUUAUAGGCUCCAAAAGGAGGGACUAGAAUUAGGAUUAGAUUAUAGAUUAUUUUAAUACAUUUUAUGGCAAAUUCUGAUUUGGAAAGAUAAGAUUAUCCUUUUGGUUUUCCUUAUUUACCCUUUUGCACCCAUUACGUGUACGCGUCUUCGUGGGCUUUUUGGGUAUUUCAAUUAUAUCGCCAAUGCUAAAUCGACACGUUGCAUAUCAGCCGCGGUACUGCCGUAUGUAGUUGUCCAGAAAUCGAGUCGAUUCUCGAUCGUACAAUAAUUAAAUAAUAUUUCAUACGAAAUGAGUUUAGAUAUAUUUUGAAAAUUUAUUUUUAAUUUAAUUAUACGUGUUAUAUAUUUGUUAAUCGAAUAGAGGUCCCACGUAACAGAGUGUUUCUCUAAUCUUUCAUUGCUUUUAAUUAAUUUUACCCAAAUAAAAAAAAAAAGGAAAAUUUAGAGAGAGAGAGAGAGAUAGCGAAUUAGAAGUUGAUUGUAAUAUCGACACCUGUCAGACAAUCAAAUAUCGUUAGUUAAAAAUCAGUUGUCCAUAGUCAUGGUCAUAGAUGGCGAAAUUGAUACUUAUUUUAAAAAACAAAACAAAACAAAACGAAACGAAACUAAACUAACAGAUGUUGAAAUGCAGUUCCGUGUUAACAGUCUGUGAUGAAUCUUUAUCUUUGAGUAUACCAUUCAAGAAAUUAUCAUUCAAAAAUUUAUUUAAAGCAGCAGCAAAUCACCUUCUAAUUCCUGAAUCAAAUUAAUUCGAUUUUUUUCGAGUCGAUCAAUUCAUUAGAGAAUUAACGGGCUAAGUUAAAGUUUUGUUAGUUAUUUUUUUUUAUAUUCCUUUAGAUGAUAUGAUUGUCAUUGUCUUUCUUUCUCUGGGCAACAAUAAAUACAAGAUGUGCAAAAGCGUAGUGGAACAUAAUUCGAUUAUGGGUAAAGGGAUCAGUCCGCAUAAUGAGGAUAAAGUUUUUCUCUUUAAAAAAAUUUAACCCAAAGAAAAGGUCGUAGUUUGUAAUAGCCGACACGCAGAUAGAUCACAAAGCAUGGCGGUCCUGAUGGCAAUAACUAACUGAUAUCUUCUGCGAUGAGAGGAGAUCACGUGGUUCUGACACGUAUCGCCCCAUCAACUGAUGUUGUGGCUGCAAUCGCGGCCCAGUCUUUAGAGAGAAGAAAGAUCUGUUAUAACGGGACCUACUUUAGCAUCUAUUUACGACAAAGCCCCUAUUUACUCUACUUAGUAGUAAUAAUAGCAAGUGUCGGGCUUGGAUUCCGUGUUGCUUUAAAUAAAUAUCCGCGUAAAAAGAAAAUGCUUCUUUAAUCCCUUCCUUGUAAUUUUUCGACACGUGGAUGGUUGAAAUUAGCGUGCCGACAUCUUAGGAAUUUUAUCUUGGAGACGGGAACACUGCAGUAGGCAAUGCCAUUUUCUUCGGAUGGUGUGUGGUGACAACGCCUUGGAUUUUGACGUGCAAAGAAUUUAAAUUGAAAAAGAAAAAAAGAAAUUACCAGAAUAAGCAUAGAAGAGAUAUUUUUCUUUUUGUCCUUUUUGGAAUGGAAAAAGAGAUCAAGAGAUUGUUCCAGUAAGUAUUACACAUGUCACAGGCUUAUUCAUGCCCCAUUAUGGCAACUUUUAUGCCUCGCGGUGCCCUCGGUUCCAGCAUAAUAGCUAAGACUUCAAUUUUUCUAACAUAUUUUUGUUACAAAUAUGAACGGAGUAAAUGUAUAACUUUAAUCCUUUGAAUAAAGAAAUGGCGGUUCUCCUGCUCGUUAAUCUCACUUGAAUCCCACCCAGGCAAAAUUUCUUUAUUUUAUUUAACAACAAUUUAAAGAAAGAAACUUUUGCCAGGUUGAAUUUCAAGUGAGAUUCAUUCGUGGGAGAAGUGCCAUUUCUUUAUUCAAAAGAUUAUGGUAAUUACAACUUUCAAUUUCGACAUAAAUUAAAAUUAUAGGCUAUACAAUAAAAUUGCCCUAAAUUAGUCCUAAUCAAUUCAGAUUAUAAAUUUAGGUAUAUUUAUUAUUUUAAUAUAUUAAUGUUCUAUAUAUAUAUAUAUAUAUAUAUAUAUAUGUGUGUGUGUGUGUGUAUNNNNNNNNNNNNNNNNNNNNNNNNNNNNNNNNNNNNNNNNNNNNNNNNNNNNNNNNNNNNNNNNNNNNNNNNNNNNNNNNNNNNNNNNNNNNNNNNNNNNNNNNNNNNACAGCAGAAAAUAUUUGCUAUGGAUAAGGAGACAUGGUCCCACGUCCCACCGUCCCAAUGCAUAUUUUGUAUGUUUCCAUCUUUUCUGAAAUUUUAAUAAAUAAAGUUUUUUGACCACUUGGCCAAAGAACCUUACCCUUACACAACUUUGUGGUUGGAGUCCUGUGAUACAUGUAAGAACUUAUUUUUUUUCUUAAUUAUAAUAUUUUAGAAUAUAAUUAAGUGAAGUAGGUUUUUUUUUUAAAUAUGAGUAAAAUAGAUAUUUUUUAAAUAUUAAAGAGAGUAAAAUUUGAAUAAUAAUAUAUUAAAAUUAAUACAAACUAAUUUUAAUAAUUAUUUAAUUAUAAAUAUCAAUUAUAACAUCAUAUAAUAUCAAUUAUAAUAUCGUACAUCUCAAUUAAUUCAAUAAUAAUAAUAAUAAAUGUUUUUUGGGAUAAGUAAACAGUCGCAUGGCGACAAUAGUGGAUCUGGAUUAGAGUGAAGUGGUCCCAAGAGGCUGAGGCUGUGGCUGUGGAGUUCUAAAAGUCAAAAGCUCCACGCACUUUGUUUCAGUACCAUACACACUGAAAAAAUUUGCAUUUGCAAUGACGAAAACUUUUCACGAAAUCAAAACACCUCUAAACUAUUUUGUUAUCGAUAUUUAAUGGAGGGGUUUCCUACCUUUUUAACACUCGAUUCACGCCUUGACGCAUCUCACAGAAAACCUCAUGAUCCCAUUAAUCUUGCGUAACAUAUCUCAAAGCCAAUGCAAGUGAUCUUGUUGCCUACUUCCCUUUGACGAUUCAAAAUUGUUGAAAAUAAUUCUUUUUUUUUUUAACCUCAAGGAAGUGACAAAAUAUAAAAGAAUAUUUUCUACACAUUAAACAUCUAGAUUUUUUUUUCUUUUCUUUUUAGAGUACUUGCACAAACCGUUUCCAAGAGAGACCUUUUUUUUUUUUUUUUUUUUCCGGGCUUGGUUACUAAUUUGGUGUGAAUACUCUAUGGUGAAAAAGGAAUCACAAAGCUGUAAUCAAUUUUUUUGCAUCAUUUAGUUGUAACUUGAACAUUGGGAGGUUUAUAAAGAAUUAAAUUAAUUAUAAUGCCUCUACUAGGAAAAGUUCAGAGUAGCCCUUCACAACUUUUUAAAGGCUUAAUAAUUUUCGCUUUCUUCCUCUCAUAACAUAACAAAAAAUUAAGAGCUUUACUCGUACACGUCCUAUGGCUAUAUAGUAUUGGGUUCUCUACUUCAAUCGGCUAUCUCAAACCGAAGGUUAUUUGGACACACCAGCAGUCACGUUUGGAAACUCUCAAAUGCUUGGAUUGUAAUUCUUGUGGAUGAGAUCAUCUAAAUCUUGGGCCCAAGCCGGACAAUGGGUGGACAAAGAACCCUAAAAUACAGUAAAGCUUCUAACACCCCACUAAAACUCUUAAGAAAUCCUACCUUUUAUUUUUAUAUCUCUUUCUUUUAGAAAUUAUAGAGAAGACAUAGCAUUUUAAUUAUUUUCCCUGCCAUUGAAAAUAAAUUCUGUAAACAUAUUUUUUCAUAAUAAAAUUAUUGUUAUUAGAUAAUUUAUUUCUUCAUUGUUUCAAAAUUAUUAUAAUUUUAUCAACAAAAUUAGUUAUGUCAUAUAUUAGGAUUAAAAUUAAUUAGGAUCCAUAACUUGUAAAGACAUUUUAGUUUAAUUGAAUUCAUAUUUGUCAUUUUAUGUAAUUUUCAAUAAAAAUACGACUAUGAGUGCAAAAGUGGGAUGACAUAAUAUUAAAAGAGUGUGAAAUAAUCGGUAAUUGAAAUGGAUUGAAAUCAUAAUAGAGUAUGAAAAUCAGAAUAAAUUGUUUACUUUAGUUGUAGAAAUCAAAAUUAAAAUAAACCAUAUUAUCAUUGAUGUAUAUAUGUUUUCUUGUAAUCGAAAUGAAUUCUUAUAAGUUACUAUAAGACCCUUAUGGUGUGUUUACUAAUCAGAAAUCAGAAUGGAGUGGAAUUUGAAUAUAGAAUGGUAGGGGUAUUCGCGGAUCGGAUUUUACGGAUUGGACAUUAAUUCAUAUCCGAUCCAUAAUUUUACGGAUUAUAAAUUCUCAACACAAUCCAAAUCCAAUCUAUAUGUUUGCAGAUCGGAUGCGGAUUUGACUCAAUUCAUAUCCAAUCCACUAUUUGACGGAUUGAUUUUGGAAUUAAAAAUUUUUAAUUUUGUCCAAUCUAUGAGGUAAUUAAAUUUAAAAAUCUAAUAUAAAAAUAAUUUAUUAAAUAAAAAAUUAACGUAAAAAUAAUUUUACUACCAAUUAAAUUCAAAAUUGAACAAGAUUUAAAUAAAUUAAUUAUUUAAAUAAAACUAGAAUAAUUUAUUUAAAAUUUUUAAAUAUAACAUAUCGAAAAAAAAUUCAUUUGUUUAGAUUAAUAUAUGAAAAUUAACUAAAAUUAUGAAUUUAAAUGUUGAAAUUUGAGAGCUUGGAUGUAACAGGAAGAAAUUAAGAAACUUGAAGAACUUGAAAAGAAAGUAACAAAUUAAGCUUAACUACCUCUAAUGGUGAAGUGAAACAGUGAUGGUUUGUGCGUGCAAUGGGGUACAAAUUUGGCAUUAUAUGCCAAAAUAUUUUGUUUGGCUUUAGAAUUUUUAAUGUUUAGGAAGCUAUAUUUGUUUAUUUAAUUACUCAAAUAUUUAAUUAUUUUUUAUUUUAUGUUAUUAUUGAAUAAGAUAUAAUAUUGUGUUAAUUUAGCUAUACUUUAAUUAAUUAAUUAAUUUAUUAGUAAGUAGCAUUGCUACAUUUAUAAGUUUUAUUUUUUAUUAAAUAAAUACUUUUUUUUUUCAGAUUCACGAAUUUUUACGGAUUUACAGAAAUAAAUCCAUAUCUAAUCCAUCGACUGUGGUUUUUUAAAUUUUCAUUCCAAUCCGAUCUACCAAUCCACAAAUUAUAUUUUUACGGAUCGGACGAAUUGAGCGGAUCAAAUUGGGUUCUGAACACCCCUAGAGAAUGAGAAUCAAAAUAAAUUAUUUACUUUAGUUGUGUGAAUCGGAAUUGGAAUAAAUUGUACUGUCAUUGAUGUGUUUACUUUAUCUUGGAAUCAGAAUGAAUAAUUUCAAAUUACUAAACUGACCUUAAUUUUUUAUUGUAAUAAUAAUAGUAGUAGUAGUAGUAAUAGUAGUAAUUUUCUAUUAUUAUUAUUAUUUUCUCUCUCUUUUGUUUUUAUUUUUUUAUUUUUCUCUUCUUCUUCUCUUCCUCUUUUUUUAUUUUUCUCUAAUUCAUCGAUACUUCUUCUUCUUCUUUUUUCUUUCGUUUUUAUUUUUAAUUUUUCCCUUCUUUAUCGUUCCUUCUUCUCCGUCCAUUCUCUAUCUUCAAACUCUUUUUACUUUUUCUCUUAUUCUUCAUUACUUCUUCUCCCUUUUUUUUUUUUUUCUCUUCUUUAUUAAUUCUUCUUCUUCUGCGUCUAUUCUUCAUCUUCAAAUUAUCAAGUGAAAAAUACCCACGGUGCCUUACAAGAAGAAUUGGUUUUGUUUGCUUCAAUUAUUUUUUGUAUUUUGUACUUUUGAUUGUUUCAAAAGAGGAUAAACUUGUAAUAAUGCAAUUUAAGUAGGGAUGUUUUAGACAAUUUUGGGUAUGAGAGUCUAAUUCCCAACCCCCCACUCCCUCGUAGCAGACUCCCAUUCUUCAUUCCUAACUUGGUGUUGGACCUACUAAAAUAAAUCCCAUUCCCCUUCUUAUUUCAAGAAGCAAACACGAUUUUGAUUUCAAUUCCCCAAUCCGAAAGUAAACGCACAAAAAUUGUACCCAUAUGAGAUUGCUUAUCCUCGAGUUUUUAGAUUGAAAAAAAAAAAGGAAAAAAGAAUGGCCCCAUUAGGAAGGGAUUUUAAGUGUUAGAUAAAGCCGGUGUUAACCAUUAGAAGGUCUCCGACCUUCAACUGUAAUAUAUUAAACCCAGAUAAAUUUACAUAUAAAUCACACAAACCAACAUGCCAAUCAAAUAAAUUACAUCAACUAACAACAAUUGACACAUUAAUUUUCAUAAUACAGAGGAUGCAGAAAAUUAAAAUGUUUUAUCUUUUCUCCUUAUUUGUGAAUUGGAAAAUGAAAAUGUUAAACAUACAGAAGAGUGAAACAGGAUGGAUAUAUAUACACACACACACACACACAGCUUUGGAGUUCAAUGUCAUCGUAUUGCUCCAAGAAGAUUGGCGCCAUCAAGCUUUGCACCUUCCAGAUGCUGUUUAAUCAUCACCAUAACACCUUCAGUAGACAUUAAUACAUAAUAGAAACACAAAAUUCACAUGAUCUGAAUGUCUGGUCUAUUUUACUUACCGUAUCUCGAAGAUUUACGUGCCGUAAAUAAGCUCUUUGAAGGUUGGCACCCUUUAAAUUGGCAUUACGUAGCUUUGCACCCUGCCGCAUAAAUGUUCGAAGUUUCAACAAAUUAAAGUCUCCUGAGAAAUACAUGUCACGAAAAAGUAGGGCUGAAACUUGCAUCUAAUGUACAAGAUUCAAUCAGGGGUGCUUGUCCCACAGUGAAAGUGUAUGGGGGAAAGUGCACUUUCACAAACCAAAGGGGCAAGAUGUGAUUAUCACACGAUUACAAAAGGACUGUAGUCAAGAGAGAGAACUGAACAUGCAGCUUGUAUUGAGGCCAUGAAAAUUGAUGAAAAGCAGUAACAAGCAACCAUUUUGAAAACACUUCAUAUGGUCGAAUCAAUAAAUCAAAGCUAAAAUGAUGUUGACGAUCGAUAGCUUUUAGGUGAUAAGAGUCUUGGCACUACAGUUAAAAUUAUUAUCUAGGAGUGCACACAUUAAUAAAAAAAAACACAACCAAUAAGCAUGCACUCUUAAUCAGCAUAUAAAUUAACAAGUUAGUUGCACCUUAUGUUGUUCCACAAACAGAUUGCUCGAACAAUUCACAAUCUUACCUUCAAAUUAGCUCCUUCCAAAUUAGCUCCCUCUAGGUUGGCAUUAGUAAGAUCAGCAGUCUGAAAAGUCAAGAGGACAAACAGAUUGCAAUUUGAUUAAAAUCUCAAAGUAGCAACAUUCUGCAUGAAAGAAGAGCAGCACAAUUGGCAACAUACAUUUUAGAUUAAGAGGAUGGGAUAAAAGCAAAAUUACAAGGACAUGAAGCAAAUGAGCCAUGUUUAGUAUGGCAAUUUUGACCCAAUAAUUGUGGCAGGUCUUGGAGAUAACAUAGGCAUACACAUAAGGCAGAAGCAAAUACUGUCGCAAACUCCUAGCUAACUACAAAUGUUCCAUAUAGAAAAAAACACCUGCAAAAGUAAGGGAAAAAGCAACAGAUAA
rnacentral:lncRNA from 1 species